rnacentral:misc_RNA from 1 species
GAGAAACAAAAACCCUAACCGCUUUGGAUUGCAGCGGUGCUGUAGCCUCACCUGUGUCUCUUUCUUUCACUCUGCUUCGCCACGUCUCUCUCUUUCUUCUUUCUCAACUCGACAAAUUUUAGCUCUCUAUCAAAUCAAAUCUUGAGCUGUGUUUCUCGAGCAAAAGGUUUGUCUUUAUCCAUCUUUUAAUGCUUAAUUUCAUGACUCUGAAAACCUAAAUGGCUCUUCUUCUAGUGGGCUUUUAUUAAAGCUGCUGUGGUUUUCCCCUUUCGUUCUUUUAUUCACAUUUUGCUUCCAGCAUCAAUGGACAACACAGGAGCAUAAUAUCUGUUCUUUCAUUUCUAGGAUCAAUUUUCUCAAAUAACUCUUCUCAUGUACAAUCAUAGUGCUUUAAAGAAAAUCCCCUAAUUGUGCACUGGAUUAUGAGCAUACUGGUAUACUUAGAGCAAUACAAUUUUGCAGAUAGGAAUGGGAACCAGAGGAGUUAUUGGGGAUAAAUGGUCAAUGAGGAUUCUUUGGGCCUGUGCUAUUGGAAGUGCAAUCAGCCUGUAUAUGGUUGCUGUAGAAAGACAAACACAAAACAGAGACAGAAUGAUGGCCGAAAGUUUAAAGGCAAUGGAAGAAGAAUCAGGCAGUGGGGAGACUGUUUAAAUGUGAACUUACCUGAAUCAAUCUGGAUAAACUCUAUAGUAUCUUUCUAAACAGCCUUUCCUAAUGUUCCAAAAUGAGCUCUGUUUAUGCAAAAGGUUGUUACCUCUUUGUUUUGGGCAUUUGCAGUUUGAGGGUUUGUUUCUGACAAUAAUUAUAGUACUUGAUUGAUGAAUGGCAGGGAAUUUGAGAUGGCAUGACCUUUUGUUUUUGAUGCUCAACUCUUUAGAACUUGUUUUGUGCGGUUGCUAUUGAUGAAGGGCUUAUUUCUCUUAUUGGUAUAUUAUUGAACUAUAUUUUUGGUAUUGUUGGCAAAAGAAAAUACAUGUAUCAUGGUGAUUACUUUAAUUUUGGGUCGAGGGGCUAUGAUUUUGUGUUGAGAUCCUAUGUUGUUAUACUUUUAAAAGAAGAUGGGCAUGAAAAAUGGAGAAGAACUGUAAUAAAAUUGAAAUUCCUGCUACUGGAGAUAUGGUGCACAACAGGUAUUUGUGUAAAUGUCAAAGUGGCUUGUAAAAGUGCCAUGAAAGCUAGUAUUAUUUGUGUCAAGAGUGGAUGAGAACGAUAGUUUGAGGGAUAAGAAAAUAGAAUAGGUAGUUUUAUACGGUUAGCAAGACUUUCGAUUGCUUUUGAUUAGCAAUAACACACCAUUAUAAAUUGAGGAUUCAACUUCAUCCUUUAAAACAAUGAGGUUAUUGCAGAGAGGGUAAUAUAGUGACAUUUUACUGUCAUAUAGCUGUAAAAUAGAAUAUUUAACCAUUGUAAUGGAG